rnacentral:lncRNA from 1 species
GGAAACGUGCUCGCUAGGAGGUCGCAUCCUAUGCAUACGUAUCUUCUCUAACCAGAGAAAGAAUCAGAGCACUCGUAGCUCGGCUAACGCACGCCAAACAAAACCACACAGGAAACCGACUGGCAAUCGCUGGACUUACGUCAGACUCCACACAAACAGGCAAACAUGGAAACCGAAUGCCAAUCGCUGGACUUACAUCAGACUCCGAACCAACAAACACA